GAUGAACGCUGGCGGCGUGCUUAACACAUGCAAGUCGAACGGGAAACCUUUUAUUGAAGCUUCGGCAGAUUUAGCUGGUUUCUAGUGGCGGACGGGUGAGUAACGCGUGGGUAACCUGCCUUAUACAGGGGGAUAACAACCAGAAAUGGUUGCUAAUACCGCAUAAGCGCACAGGACCGCAUGGUCCGGUGUGAAAAACUCCGGUGGUAUAAGAUGGACCCGCGUUGGAUUAGCUAGUUGGCAGGGUAACGGCCUACCAAGGCGACGAUCCAUAGCCGGCCUGAGAGGGUGAACGGCCACAUUGGGACUGAGACACGGCCCAGACUCCUACGGGAGGCAGCAGUGGGGAAUAUUGCACAAUGGGGGAAGCCCUGAUGCAGCGACGCCGCGUGAAGGAAGAAGUAACUCGGUAUGUAAACUUCUAUCAGCAGGGAAGAUAGUGACGGUACCUGACUAAGAAGCCCCGGCUAACUACGUG
rnacentral:rRNA from 1 species